rnacentral:rRNA from 1 species
AUACGUAGGGAGCGAGCGUUAUCCGGAAUUACUGGGCGUAAAGGGCGUGUAGGCGGUCUUGCAAGUCAGAAGUGAAAUUCCUGAGCUCAACUCGGGCGCUGCUUCUGAAACUGCAGGACUUGAGUGCUGGAGGGGAUAGCGGAAUUCCUAGUGGAGCGGUAAAAUGCGCAGAUAUUAGGAAGAACACCGGUGGCGAAGGCGGCUAUCUGGACAGUAACGGACGCUGAGGCGCCAAAGCGGGGGGAGAAAAAAGGAAUAGAUACCCUGGGAGUCCACGCCGUAAACGAUGAAUACUAGGUGUAGGGGGUAUCGACUCCCUCUGUGCCGCAGUUAACACAAUAAGUAUUCCGCCUGGGGAGUACGGCCGCAAGGUUGAAACUCAAAGGAAUUGACGGGG